GCCAGCAGCCAUAUCACCCUGCAGCUCUCAACUGGCUACCACUGAAACUCAGCAGGGUGGUGCCUGGUCGGUACCUGGAUGGGAGAUCUCUUAGGAAGCUAUGGUUGCUGCUGGAA
rnacentral:rRNA from 1 species